GUGGCAGCAGCCGCGGUAAUACGUACCGUCCAAACGUUAUUCGGAAUUACUGGGCUUAAGGGGUACGUAGGCGGCGCUGUUAGUCGGGUGUGAAAUCCCUCGGCUCAACCGAGGAAUUGCGCCCGAUACUGCAGUGCUUGAGGGGGACAGAGGUAAGCGGAACUGAUGGUGGAGCGGUGAAAUGCGUUGAUAUCAUCAGGAACACCAGUGGCGAAAGCGGCUUACCGGGUCUCUUCUGACGCUGAGGUACGAAAGCUAGGGGAGCGAAGGGGAUUAGAUACCCGAGUAGUCC
rnacentral:rRNA from 1 species